AGUCAAGCUUCUUCGAUAAGCGGUCUCCAUCCAGACUUCUACAAGAAUCGGACUUCGUCUGAACUUCCAUAGUGGAUGGAUUCUAGAUGAACUUCUACAGCGGACAGGCUCCAGCAGCUGGAUUUCUACAACGGCCAAUGUCCUCCAGUGUCUUCCGUACCUCUCCAGCCAUCAACCUUCAAUAACGUCAGUCGGACUUCAACAGCGCUAGCCAGACUUCAACAACGCCAAUCGAACUUCCACA
rnacentral:lncRNA from 1 species